AUGUCAUCGACUGGAAAAGAGCUUUUUGUACGAGUGUUUCAGCACAUUCAAGCACUGUGGUGGACAUUCGGUGGAGGAACCAAACUGCUGAUCUCAACUGGUCCCCCAGUGAAGCCCUCAGUGUCUCUGCUCGGGUCCUCUUCUCUGCAGAGCUCUGGAGACUCGGCCGCACUGCUCUGCCUGCUCAGCUCUUACUCUCCACAGGGGGCGCAGGUGAAGUGGACACGGGACGGCUCUGAGCUCAGCGAGGGGGUGACCAGUGCAGAGAGCCAGCAGGACGGCCGCUACAGCCUCACCAGCGUCCUGGAGCUCAAUAAAGAAGACUGGGAAGAGCGAGAGCGCUACGCCUGCAGAGUAUCACAUGCUGGAGGUGAUCAGGUGGUCCCGUUCCCCAAGUGCUAAUCUGUGUGUGUGUGUGUGUGUGUGUGUGUCAAUAAAGCCUCUUGUUCUUCUGCUCCA